GAUGAACGCUAGCGGGAGGCCUAACACAUGCAAGCCGAGCGGUAGAGAUUCUUCGGAAUCUUGAGAGCGGCGUACGGGUGCGGAACACGUGUGCAACCUGCCUUUAUCAGGGGGAUAGCCUUUCGAAAGGAAGAUUAAUACCCCAUAAUAUAUUGAAUGGCAUCAUUUGAUAUUGAAAACUCCGGUGGAUAGAGAUGGGCACGCGCAAGAUUAGAUAGUUGGUGAGGUAACGGCUCACCAAGUCUACGAUCUUUAGGGGGCCUGAGAGGGUGAUCCCCCACACUGGUACUGAGACACGGACCAGACUCCUACGGGAGGCAGCAGUGAGGAAUAUUGGACAAUGGGUGCGAGCCUGAUCCAGCCAUCCCGCGUGAAGGACGACGGCCCUAUGGGUUGUAAACUUCUUUUGUAUAGGGAUAAACCUAGAUACGUGUAUCUAGCUGAAGGUACUAUACGAAUAAGCACCGGCUAACUCCGUGCCAGCAGCCGCCGCUG
rnacentral:rRNA from 1 species